CUAAGAAUAUUCCGCAAUGGGCGAAAGCCUGACGGAGCAAUCUCGCGUGAAUGAUGAAGGCCUUCGGGUCGUAAAGUUCUUUCGGUAAGGGCGAAUAAGGCAGCAAGGAAAUGUGCUGCUGAUGACGGUACUUACAGAAGGAGCACCGACUAACUACGUGCCAGCAGUCGCGGUAAUACGUAGGGUGCGAACGUUGCUCGGAAUUAUUGGGCGUAGAGGGUGCGCAGGCGGCUCUACAAGUUAGUGGUGAAAACCUGGAGCUCAACUGCAGGCCUGCCAUUAAUACUGUAAAGCUAGAGUUGUAAUAGAGGUAGCGGGAAUUCCAGGUGUAGGAGUGAAAUCUGUAGAUAUCUGGAGGAACACCAAUGGCGAAGGCAAGCUACUGGGUAACAACUGACGCUAAGGCACGAAAGCUAGGGGAGCAAAUGGG
rnacentral:rRNA from 1 species